AAGAAACUUUGACUUUCCCCCUCACUGCCUAAAAGAAUUUAAGAUAGAAGGCCUGUUCCAGGACAGGCCGUCACCAUAGAUAACUCCAGGUAUGACUGCCUGGGAG